UGCCUAUAGAAACUCAAAAUUAACAAAUUACCAAAACAACCCUAAACCUAACUGUUUCUUGGUUCCUUUUGAUUAAUUGUAAUUGCUACCGGAUAAAUUAUGGAUGAAUGUAUAUUCUGUGAGUUCCGCAAGUUAGGGUUUUCGCAAGAACGCCCUAGGGUUCCAUUUUUUCGGCUCCUGCAUAAAAGGCACUCUAUUUCAUAUAUCUGAGGAGGAGUUUGUGCGACAGAUCCUAUCGAUUUAUGGUUAUGGUGCACCUGUAAGUCGAUUUAGCAUCCUUUUUGUUUUUUUCUUUCAUGCUUUGACUCUAAUGUGGCAAGAGUGAUGAAUCAAUUAGAUGUCCGAGACAGAUGUAUCUGUUUCUGAGUGUUAAAACCUGAGGCAUAUAUUCUUCUGACUUGCCCCAUGGAAGAUCCGUCUUGUACACUGUAACUCAAUUUCAAGUCUUUGGGAUAAAGGUCAGAAGUGCUUCUGUCCGAUGAUGUAAACUUACAACUGACCAGCGUGGUAGUAGGUGCCAUCGUUGUAUGUAUCCUGCACACAUCACUUUUAAAGCUCACUUUCUCUCAAUCGCCUUGACUUAUCUCCUCAUUUUCUCAAUAUUGAUAUAAAAUUGCAGUCCUUUGCCACUCCGUUAAAAACUUUCAUUUCAUUUCAUCUCUUUCCAUUUCAUCCACAUUUUCCUGUGCAAGUGGCAUACAGCGAAGGUUCCUAAUUUCAUACCGCCAAUGAUGGCUAAGCUAUGAGAGCUGAGGACAGUUCUGAAUGAUUCUUGCUUUGCCCUUGUAUAGCCUGUAAGGAAGCUUCCUUUUGUUUUGUUUGAGAUCGCAGAAAAUCUUUAUAAAACAGUUUCUUUAAUUGUGUUUUAAUGGAAAGGUUGUAUGAAUUUUAAUCCUUGUCUUAACUAAGCAUCUAUUAUUGUGAUCUAGAGUUAGGAACAUGAAUUGUGUAAUAUCUUGUUGUUGUUAUAAUGGAGAGGCUAUCCGACUUUAAUCCUUAUCUUAACUAACCAUUUUUUUUUUGAUUCAGUGUUAGGAACUUAAAUUGCAUAUCAGUUUGUAGUUGCUCCAAUGAAUGUUGUUUAAUUCUUUUUAACACAGCUAGGCAGUUAUGGAUAUAUGAUUUUAAUCCUAAUCCUAAUUAAGCAUCUAUUGUUUUGAUCGAGAGUUAGGAACAUAGAGAGUUAGGAACAUAAAUUGCAUAUCAGUUUGCAGCUGCUUUAAUGAAUGUUGCUCAGUUCUUUUUAACACAGUUAGGCAGUUAUGGAUAAAUAAAAAUUAUGCAACAUUCAGAUUUAUUGACAUUAGCCAGUCAAAUGUAUUAUAUAAGGUGUUGAUAGACUUCACAUACCAAACACUUGCACUUUUUGGCUGUCAGGCUUCACACACCAUACACCUGCACUUUUUGGCUGUGUUGUUGUUGUGUUGUGAAGCUAAUCUGACAUGUUGGAUUUGUAAGGGUCUUUUAUAUCUACGGUGGUCACGUCACAGCUUGGUUAAAUGUUUAUUUGAUUGCCUGAAAAUAUACUCCAUAUUUGUUGCAGCUUAAGUUGUAUGUAUGAAUACAACUUCCGAUGUUUGCAUUGUUUUUGCUGACAUCAGUGUGUUUGCUGGUGUCGGUUGUUGCAAUCCUCUGAGACUAGAAUAAAUAAAAGCUCAUUAGGGCUACACCGUGUUUACAUUAAUUAUACUUGUUGAAUAAAACAGAGGUAUUGGUAAAAUCGUAAAUAUUUUCUCUUUCUUUAAAGCUCAAACACAAUAGAUAUUGCUUUUUCUUUUAUCGCAAAUACAAUUUGGGCGUUUCUAGUGAAGUGUAUAUCAUUAGCUGGCUUAGUUUCUCAAGUUUCCUAUCUUAGUAAAUAGGUUUUAUUUGAAGGACAUAACAAGAUGCUAAGGCUAUUUUGGAAGUCAACAAAUUUUUGGGUAAUCAUCAUAAAAUUAGAGGAAAAUUAUGCUGAAUUUUGUUUGUUGUUAUAUCAAGUGUCUUCACAAUAUUCAUGCAAAGUUUUUUGGCAAGUUAUUGUGGCAUGUAAAAGCUAUUUUUUUCCCUUUUUGAGUUUAUUCGAGUUUGCUCUUAUUUUGGAGGCUCUAGAAUGUGCUAAUCAAUGUCAAUAUGGUAUCUAAAAAGUUCGUCAUUGUGCAACAUAUGGUAUAUAUAUAAUCCUGCAAUCUGUCUAUUGCCCAUCUUGAAUUUUUUUAUAUGUUAUCUGAUACUUGCACUUUUAUGGUUGGGUCUAUAGAGAUGAGAUCCCUUCUUUUUCAGUAGAGGAAUUUAAGUUGUGGGUGUGGUUACUUGCCCUUUACCACAUGAACUUGACAAUGGGGGCUUCUAUGAAAGGAAAAUAAUACAUAUCCCAAGUGUUUUGGUAGCCUGUGGUUUCUUCAAGCGUUUUACACUUUUGUUAUAAGAGUUGGAUCUGCUUGGAUUGAUCUAGGUAGUUUAGACUGAAAUUGCUUUUAUGUGCCUUCUAUAAGUUGGCUGAAUCAAAUCAAUCUGUGAUUGAAUCACACUAAGGCUUGAUUAAGACAAUAUCUGAAUAGUAGAUUGAGAUCAAUAUCUGAAUAGUAGAUUGAACUGAUUACACGUGAUUGAGACAAUAUUUGAAUUGAUAUAGUGAAGGUUGAGGGUUUAUCUGUAGGGUUUGUGGGUUAGGUUUAUGCUAUUGGAUUGAUUUAGGUAGUUUAGACUGAGAUUGCUUUUAUGUGCCUUCUAUAAGUUGGCUGAAUCAAUCAAUCUGUGAUUGAAUCACACUAAGGCUUGAUUAAGACAAUAUCUGAAUAGUAGAUUGAGCUGAAUAUCUGAAUAGUAGAUUGAGCUGAUUACACGUGACUGAGACAAUAUUUGAAUUGAUAUAGUGAAGGUUGAGGGUUUAUCUUUAGGGUUUGUGGGUUAGGUUUAGGCUAUUUGAGAAUUUUUUUUCAUACAUUUUUUUUUGUCUCCUUUGUUGCACUUAGGGCCACAGGGAUAUGUCCCUGCUAUUGCUGUGGGAUAUGCCCUGACAUUACCUGCAUUCCAGAGAAAUAAGUAGCUGUAGAAAGGGGAUUACCAAGGCAUCAGUAAAAGAAUGAUAUGCUCCCCAAUACUUUUGAAAAAUAAGAAAUAGAGGUUACGGUACCCUGUUACAAUGUGUUCUUACGUGUCUGAGAUGUGGGUCCCUGGGAACAUUGGUGUUAUUCUUAUCAAUUGACUGGAUUUUGCAGUCUGAUCCACUCAAAAUUCACUGGUUAAAUGUUUACUUGUUAUACAAUUUUUUUUAUUAGAGUCUUCCCAACUCUUGACCAACUGAUAUGCUGCUAAGAAAUAAUUGCUUUUUCUCUUCCAAAUAAUAUGCCCAACUUGCGUGGCAAUAGUCUUGGCUAUGCUGGAUAUGGUGGUAUAAGAGUUGCAGAAAAGGUUGUGUAAGCAUUCUAAGGUACGGAGGAUCAGUGAGUUUUGAUCAAUGGUUAACUGAGAUAUAAAAAAUAUAUAAGAAUCUAAGUCUUGUUUCAUCGUCCAUCGAUUGCAUCAUGGCCGUGGGGACCACAAGGUGCUUACUGACAUUCUCAUAUCUCACAGGACAGAUGUAAUGAAGCCUGCAAUGGGGCUCGCCAUACGUUUGUAUUCAAAAAAUGUGAUCGAAAACCUAGUUUUAAAAAGGAUUUUCAAAGGAAAAAUGCGGAUAAUCCUCUGCCUCUGAAAUUUUAUAAGUACAUUUAAUUAUGUCUAGGAAAUUUGCCAACAAAUUCUAAGGGAGGAAAGAGAUCGGUGAGGUGAAAUUUUAAAGUUUAAGCAUUUCAGGUGUCUUGUUGUAAUUUCAAACAGUUAAUUAUAUUUACUGGUGAUUGGUCUAAUUUCAAACAUCUGUUUCUAUUUCCUACUGAUUGGUCUAAUUUUAAACAGUUAAUUAAUAUUUCCUCCUGAAACUGAGGAUAAGGAUCUCUUCUUGUUUGCAGCCUUCCACCAGUACUGUUGACAUUAUUCGAACCGCAAGGCAACCUAGACCACCAUCAACAAGAUAAAAGAUAAUAGUGUGUUUUCCUUUCAACAGGUUACGUGAUGGCUGUAGGAUAUGAAGCUCAAUAGACAUUUUAAUUAUUGGAUAGCUGAAGAAACAGCUGCUGCUGCUAAAAGAUUGAUAUUAAUAAGAGUGUUCCUCUGCUUCAAAUUGGAUGGAGUCAUAUUGGUGAACCACUAUAAAUCUUAUGUGUUGAUUAGUAAAUCUGAGAAUAAUUUCUGGAAAGAAUGUAGUUGGUUUUUGAUUUUCAGCAAUUGAUGAUUAGAGCUUAGUAAAGACCUUGGAAAUUUGAGAUUUUUAUUUUUGACAGAAUUUUAGAUUGUAGAAGACAGAUGGAAUUUGUCCUGAUUAAAGAUUUUUUCCAUUUGCAUUGGAUAAAUAGGUGAAAACAAGAAUCAUCCUCUCUCUCAUGGAAUAAAAAAUACAUGAUCAUCAUAUGAUCAUCAUCAAGAGGAGUGUGCACCCUCUCGCCACAGCCCUCCUCUGCCACGGGUAUAGCCUCAGCCUCUAUAUCUACCUGGUCGAUCCAAUCAGUGUCAUCAUCGCUAAAGAGAGUCGCAAGAUCUGUCUCAUUGGCCCACUUUGCUUCAAAAUCAACUAUCAUUUAGAAUGAUAGGAGAUAUGUCAACUAAUGCAUUAUUUCUCAUUCUAAAGAUGAGAUCAUUUAUCAUCUCUACAGAUAAUCUAUUGCACUUCUUGGAGUGUGCUCAAACAUACUCCAAUUGCGUGCUCAACCGGAUGCGUUGCAUGGUUGGCUUAAGAUGCGAAUGGUCAACUUUUGAAUAUUUGGUGUCAUUGGGCCAACAAUAAAACUAAAAUUAAGCCUUACAAUUUAUUUUUACCUCGCAUCAUAGUUGUCCUAUCCUCUUUGGUGAGAGGACGAGAGGUCUCCCCUUGUGCAUUUGAGAACAAUUGUAAGCUCUAUUUAAGUAGUACCAACAUGUGCCAUCUUUUACAUGAUUGAAUAUAGCCCAUUAAGGAUCUCCACAUCAGCCUUGAUAGAAGGGAUAAAAUGGAAUGCCGGAUUCAGAUAA